GGACCGGAAGCUAACUUAGUAGAAGCGUCUGGUUGAAGCCCAGAAGGAGUUGGAGCGUAACCAACCUGGUCCACCA
rnacentral:tRNA from 1 species